rnacentral:rRNA from 1 species
GAUGAACGCUGGCGGCGUGCCUAAUACAUGCAAGUCGAGCGAACAGACGAGGAGCUUGCUCCUCUGACGUUAGCGGCGGACGGGUGAGUAACACGUGGAUAACCUACCUAUAAGACUGGGAUAACUUCGGGAAACCGGAGCUAAUACUGGAUAAUAUAUUGAACCGCAUGGUUCAAUAGUGAAAGACGGUUUUGCUGUCACUUAUAGAUGGAUCCGCGCCGGAUUAGCUAGUUGGUAAGGUAACGGCUUACCAAGGCAACGAUGCGUAGCCGACCUGAGAGGGUGAUCGGCCACACUGGAACUGAGACACGGUCCAGACUCCUACGGGAGGCAGCAGUAGGGAAUCUUCCGCAAUGGGCGAAAGCUUGACGGAGCAACGCCGCGUGAGUGAUGAAGGUCUUCGGAUCGUAAAACUCUGUUAUUAGGGAAGAACAAAUGUGUAAGUAACUAUGCACGUCUUGACGGUACCUAAUCAGAAAGCCACGGCUAACUACGUG